UAUCCCUACCGUGCUAAGGUAGCAUAAUCAUUUGCCUUUUAAUUGGAGGCUAGUAUGAAUGGGUAAACGAAAUUUCAACUUUAUUGUUUUUAUAAUAUAAAAUUUAGAAUUUAGGUGAAGAUACCUAAAUAAAUUUGAAAGACAAGAAGACCCUAUAGAGUUUUAAAUUAAUGAUAAUGUAAAAUAAUUUUUGGUUGGGGCGACUAAAGAUUUUAUAAACAUCUUUUAUUAAAACGAAAUAUUUUUCUAAAUAUUUGAUCCUAGUUGUAGAUAAAUAAAAUAAACUACCUUAGGGAUAACAGGCUUAUCUUUCUAAAGAGUUCAAAUUGACAGAAAGGUUUGGCACCUCGAUGUUGGCUUAGAGUAACCUAUUAAUGUAGAAGUUAAUUAAGGUCAGUUUGUUCAACUGUUAAAUCUCU
rnacentral:rRNA from 1 species